rnacentral:rRNA from 1 species
AGAGUUUGAUCAUGGCUCAGAACGAACGCUAGCGACACGCUUAACACAUGCAAGUCGAACGGAAAUAUACUUCGGUAUGUUUUAGUGGCAAACGGGUGAGUAACGCGUAAGAAUUUGCCCUAAAGUGGGGGAUAGCUGUUGGAAACGACAAGUAAUACCGCAUACGCUCUACGGAGGAAAGAUUUAUCGCUUUAGGAGAAUCUUGCGUCAGAUUAGGUAGUUGGUGAGGUAACGGCUCACCAAGCCGAUGAUCUGUAGCUGGUCUGAGAGGAUGAUCAGCCACACUGGGACUGAGAUACGGCCCAGACUCCUACGGGAGGCAGCAGUGAGGAAUAUUGGGCAAUGGAGGAAACUCUGACCCAGCGAUGUCGCGUGAAUGAUGAAGGUCAAUAGAUUGUAAAGUUCUUUCACCUGUGAAGAUGAUGACUGUAACAGGAGAAGAAGCCCCGGCAAACUUCGUGCCAGCAGCCGCGGUAAUACGAAGGGGGCAAGUGUUGUUCGGAAUGAUUGGGCGUAAAGGGUGCGUAGGUGGUUUUUUAAGUGAAGUGUGAAAGUUUUAAACUCAAUUUAAAAAUUGCAUUUUAUACUGAAAAACUUGAGAAAGGUAGAGGAAACAGGAAUGUCUAGAGUAGAGGUGAAAUUUGUAGAUACUAGAUGGAACACCAAAGGCGAAAGCAAGUUUCUGGGCCUUUUCUGACACUAAGGCACGAAAGCGUGGGGAGCAAAUGGGAUUAGAUACCCCGGUAGUCCACGCCCUAAACGAUGAGUGCU